CCCCGCCAGAAAAUCCUCUAUUCACCGCCAAAAAAACCCCCAACUAGCAACAAUACAUCACCUAAUACCUCUAACCACACUCUGAAUGCAUGGUUAAGCCGUGCCGUAUCACUUCGAAUGCAUGAUUAAUCCGUGCCGUAUCACUUCGAAUGCAUGAUUAAUCCGUGCCGUAUCGGAUUCUUAAUAGGAACCUGUCCCCCUAGUUUCUCGAAUUUCUCUACAGAUGAAGACGAAUUCGAAGAAACCGAUGGCAG
rnacentral:lncRNA from 1 species